GUGCUCCUUUGGGCAGCUCACAUACUGACACUGAAAAGAUACAGAGAUUAGCGUGACCCAUGUGCAAAGAUGACACAUAAAUUCAUGUAGAUGCAGAAAAGAAA
ensembl:snRNA U6 U6 spliceosomal RNA